ensembl:lncRNA
CUGUGGAGAUGGGAGAGCCUUACUGAAGGACAACCAUCUGUAAAGCACUCCACCAAUCAGGUCUUAAUGGUAGAGUGGCCAGACGGGAAGCCACUCCUCAGUAAAAGGCACAUGGCCGCUGGCUUGAAGGCUGCCAAAAGGCACCUAAAGACUCAGACCACGAGAGACAAGAUUCUCUGGUCUGAAGAAACCAAUAUUGAACUAUUUUUGCCUGAAUGCCAAGUGUCAUGUCUGGAGGAAACCUGGCACCAUCCCUACGGUGAAGCAUGGUGGUGGCAACAUCUUGCUGUGGGGAUGUUUUUCAGCGGCAGGGACUGGGAGACUAGUCGGGGUCGAGGGAAAGAUUUAAUGGCGCAAAGUACAGACAUAAUUGAGGAAAACCUGCUCAGGACCUCAGACUGGGGUGAAGGUGCUCCUUCUAACAGGACAAUGACCCUAAAUCACAGCCAAGACAGAGAAGAAUGGGAUAAAAUCCCCAGAUACAGGCGUACCAAGCUUGUCGCGUCAUACCCAAGAUGGCUUAAGGCUGUCAAUGCUGCCAAAAAAUGCUAAAACAAACUACAGAGUAAAGGGUCUGUAUACUUGUGUAAAUGUGAUUUUUUUUUUAAAUAUAUAUUUUAUUUUUUAUAAAUGAGCAAACAAUUCUAAACCUGUUUUUUGCUUUGAGAUUAUGGGGUAUUGUUUAGAUUGAGGAAAAAAUCAAAUGUAAUCCAUUUUAGAGAGCUUAACGUCACAAAAUCUGUAAAAAGUCCAUGGGUUUGAUUAGGAUUUUAACGCCGAUACCGAUUAUUGGAGGACCAAAAAAGCCGAUACCGGUAUCGGAUGAUUUUAUUUAUAAUAAUGACAAUUACAACAAUACUGUAUGAACACUUAUUUUAGCUUUAUAUAAUACAUCAAUAAAAUCAAUUUAGCCUCAAGUAAAUAAUGAAACAUGUUCAAUUUGGUUUAAAUAAUGCAAAAACAAAGUGUUGGAGAAGAACGUACAAGUGCAGUAUGUGCUAUGUAAGAAAGCUAACGUUUCAGUUCCUUGCUCAGAACAUGGGAACAUGUUCUGAGCAAGGGACUGAAACGUUAGCUUGAAAGCUGGUGGUUCCUUUUAACAUGAGUCUUCAAUAUUCCCAGGUAAGAAGUUUUAGGUUGUUGUUAUUAUAGGACUAUUGCCAUCUAUACCAUUUGUAUUUAAUUAACCUUUGACUAUUGAUUUUCUUAUAGGCACUUUAGAAUUGCCAGUGUAACAGUAUAGCUUCCAUCCCUCUAGUUAGCGCGCGCUAACUAGCUAGCCAUUUCACUUCGGUUACACCAGCCUCAUCUCGGGAGUUGAUAGGCUUGAAGUCAUAAAUCGCGCAAUGCUUGACACACAACGAAGAGCUGCUGGCAAAACGCACGAAAGUGCUGUUUGAAUGAAUUUAUGUGCCUGCUUCUGCCUACCACUGCUCAGUCAGAUACUUAGAUGCUUGUAUGCUCAGUCAGAUUAUAUGCAACGCAGGACACGCUAGAUAAUAUCUAGUAAUCAUCUCCCAUGUGUAGUUAACUAGUGAUUAUGAUUGAUUUGUUUUUUAUAAGAUAAGUUUAAUGCUAGCUAGCAACUUACCUUGGCUUACUGCAUUUGCGUAACAGGCAGUCUCCUUGUGGAGUGCAACGAGAUGGGCAGGUCGUUAUUGCAUUGGACUAGUUAACUGUAAGGUUGCAAGAUUGAAUCCCCCGAGCUGACAAGGUGAAAAUCUGUCGUUCUGCCCUUGAACAAGGCAGUUAACCCACCGUUUCUAGGCCGUCAAUGAAAAUAAGAAUGUGUUCUUAACUGACUUGCCUAGUUAAAUAACGGUAUAAAAAAAUAUAUAUAUCUGCAAAUCCGCGCCCAAAAAUACCUAUUUCCGAUUGUUAUGAAAACUUGAAAUCGGCCCUAAUUAAUCGCCCAUUCCGAUUUAAUCGGUCGACCUCUAGUCUGAAUACUUUCCAAAGGCACUGUAUAUACACUAUACUUCUUGAAAUACUUUCCUAUCUCUCUCUCUUUGGGACAGUGUGGUGGACCGUUGUGAUGACACUGUAGACAUGUCACCUGUGCACCAGGUAGUCAAUAGAAGCUGUCCCUGUGGUGACACGGGCUGGAGAACAUCCUACUGAGGCUGCAGACAGGUCUGAGGGACAACCAGACCUCACAGGACAAACACUCACAGCCAAGAGGGACUCUGAAGCUCUGCCAGUGACCAUCGGGUUCUUGGUCACCUCCCUGACCAAGGCCCCUCCCCCCGAUUCCGCAGUUUGGCCCGGGUGGACAGCUCUAGUAAUAGUAUUGGUGGUUUAAAACGUCUUCCAUGUAAGAAUGCUGGAGGCCACUGUGUUCUUGAGGAUCUUCAAUGCUGCAGACAUUUUUUGGUUACCCUUCCCCAGAUCUGUGCCUCGACACAAUCCCGUCUCUGAGCUCUACAGACAACUCCUUCGACCUGAUUGCUUGGUUUUUGCUCUGACAUGCACCGUCAACUGUGGGACCUUUUAUAUAGACAGGUGUGUGCCUUUCCAAAUCAUGUCCAGUCAAUUACAUUUACCACAGGUGGACUCCAAUCAGGUUGUAGAAACAUCUCGUGGAUGAUCAAUGGAAUAGGAUAUACCUGAGCUAAAUUGAGGAUCAUAACAAAGGGUCUGAAUACUUAUAGAAAUACUUUAUCUGUAAUUUUUUUAUACAUUUGAAAAAAAUUCUGAUCCUGUUUUUGCUUUGUCCUUAUGGGGUAGUGUUUGUGGAUUAUUUUCUCUCAAUUUAAUCAAUUUUAGAACAAGGCUGUACCAUAACAAUGUGGGUAAGGGGUCUGAAUACUUUCUAACUGCACAGUGUAUAUUAAUGUAAUGAAAUUGGUCACAUACACAUCUAGCAGAUUUUGUUGCAAAAUGCUUGUGUUCCUAGCUCCAACAGUGCAAUAGUAUCUAAAAAUGAUUCACAACAAUGCACAAUCUAAAAAUAGAAGAAUGGCAUUAAGAAAUAUAUAAAUAUUAGAUUGAGAAAUGUCGGCUUGGCAUCGACUAAAAUACAUUAGAAUAGAAUACAGUAUAUACAUGAGAUGAGUAAAGCAGUAUGUAAACAUUAUUCAAGUGACAAGUGAUUCUAUGUGUAUAGGGGGUGUUCCCUUUAUUCCAUACAUCCUGCAUGUUAAUUCAUGGCCUUGGAAAUGUAAAUACUAAAAUAAUGUUUGGCUUUUAAAUUCUUUCUGUUCUGAGGCCUAAUGGAAUGGAUGAACAGCCAUGUAAAUGCCAAUUAUUAUUAAAUGCCUUAUUCUUAUCAUGUCUUUCCAAAUCCAUUUUGAUUACAAUAUCCCUGAGAUGAAUGUUGUAUAAUGUUAUGGUCCUUACGGCAAUGUAACUUGCACUUUGUUUUCAGGUUUGAAUGACAGUGUAUUCCCCUAAACUUAUUUCAAUAAAGUUGUUACUUGUUUAUAUGUAAGACCA